rnacentral:Y_RNA from 1 species
GGCUGGCCUGAGCGCGGUGGUGUUUAAAACCGAUUGAUCAAACCAGUUACAGAUUUCUUUGUUCAUUCUGCACACCCACUGCUUCACUUGACCAGCCAGGA